CUUAACCAUUGAGUGAAGCCAGGGAUCCAACUCGCACGGUCGUGGAUACUAGCCAGAUGCUUAACCCAUCAAGCCACCUCGGGAGCUCCCUCACACUGAGUCUCAGCCUCCUCGAUCCCUCACCGUCUCAGCCACACUGCUCCUGGUGCACACAGGAGAUUUUGCCAGGAUCUGUCCACUUCCUAAAAGUCUUUUCCUCUGGACAUGUUUCCCCUCCAAUCACCCCCCUCACCCCCUUCUAGAAUAUUCUUUGAGCUGGUUUUCUCUGUCCUUUGUAUCUGCUUCCACCCUGAAGCUGAAAUUGGCGGGGGGGGGGCACCUUUUCCGAUGCAUCUCCACUGGACAGCUCCAUCUCCCUGAAAGCCUCAGAAAGACAGGAAAGUGUGACUUUCUGAUUUUAUUGCAACCAUCACUCACAUGCACAAGAUGAGGCCAGAGACGUGCACUGGAACCCCAGGAGCCACUGCCAGGUAAGCAGCUGUCUCCUUGGUUUAACUUUCAGCUGCCUGCAGACACAAAUACGCUGCCUAUCUGGCAGCCCAGGCCACCAGAAUGGGGGCAGAAGUGUUUCAGAUAAAACUAGUGCCGCAGCACCUGUCGGGCUGGAGAAAAUGUGUGUGGAGCGACAGGGAACCAGACGAAGAGGCUCACUGAGAAGCCACGGAAAGCCGCGUUUCUCCAGGGAAGACGUGCCCAAGAAGAGGCGCCAUAGGCGGGGACAGGAUUGUAACAGCAAGUGACAUGGAACCGGAAACAGGUCCCCAAAUGCUGAGGCAGAAGGAAGAAACUACACGGCAGAAACCACGGACGAGCUCGUGCAGACAGUGAUGAAGGCUGAAGCCAGGUGACCCAGAUGGAGCUCGUUAGAAAACGCAAGCCGUGAACUAGGUCUCCAAAGUGCAGGUCCGAUGGAAAACGUCUCUUUCCC